UAACACGUGGAUAACCUACCUAUAAGACUGGGAUAACUUCGGGAAACCGUAGCUAAUACCGGAUAAUAUUUUGAACCGCAUGGUUCAAAAGUGAAAGACGGUCUUGCUGUCACUUAUAGAUGGAUCCGCGCUGCAUUAGCUAGUUGGUAAGGUAACGGCUUACCAAGGCAACGAUGCAUAGCCGACCUGAGAGGGUGAUCGGCCACACUGGAACUGAGACACGGUCCAG
rnacentral:rRNA from 1 species